ACAACUUUCAACAACGGAUCUCUUGGCUCUCGCAUCGAUGAAGAACGCAGCGAAAUGCGAUAAGUAAUGUGAAUUGCAGAAUUCAGUGAAUCAUCGAAUCUUUGAACGCACCUUGCGCUCCUUGGUAUUCCGAGGAGCAUGCCUGUUUGAGUGUCAUUAAU
rnacentral:rRNA from 1 species